rnacentral:lncRNA from 1 species
CCGCAGCCCUCAGAUGCUUUCAUCUUUUCUUGUCUCUCAAACCUAACCCUAGACUCCUUCACUCACCUCCUUCUUCGAUCAUCUCCAGCGACCAUCCUCUCAACCCCAAGCCUCCAAUGGUCACUCCACUGCCUUGCUCAUCAUCUAUAAGGCCCUCAAGGGUCAUGGGCCAUAUCAAUUGGGACCUAGGGUUUCUGAUUUUAUUGUUCGAGGCUUCUCUGGUGUGAUUUUGGGCAAAAUCAUACCAUGUGUAUUACGAUUUGUGAAGUUAGAAUAGGUUCUUUCGAUUUCUAUUUUCGGUUUCCUUUUGAAACCCUAGCUCUCUUUUGAAUCUCUCAGAUAUAUGUUGUUUCCAUGCAUUAAGCAUGUUUCCUUCUAUGAUUUGCUUAUUCUCGAACUUUCUUUUGAAAGAUCCUUUACUUUUACACUGUUUUCACUUUCUUUUGAAAACUAGAGUUUUCUCAGAG